rnacentral:rRNA from 1 species
GACGAAGGUGGCGAGCGUUGUUCGGAAUCACUGGGCAUAAAGCGCACGUAGGCGGCGACGUAAGUUGGGUGUGAAAUCCCUCGGCCCAACCGAGGAACUGCGCCCAGUACUGCGUUGCUUGAGGAUCCAAGGGGUGCAUGGAAUUCCCGGUGGAGCGGUGAAAUGCGUUGAUAUCGGGAGGAACUCCGGCGGCGUAGGCAGCGCCCUAGACGAGACCUGACGCUCAGGCACGAAAGCGCGGGGAGCGAACAGG